AGAGAAGGAACCACCCCAGGCUUACACUGUCUUUGAUAUGGUGGUAAGUACAAGUGUACCGACAGAACCACAGUUCACUCAGUUUCAAGUAGAAAAUAUGGGGGUAUAUAUUUUACCAAACUUGAAACCAUUGCUAGAUUUUACAAGGAUUCUGUAAAAUGACUUUAUUUUGAAGGACUACUCCAUUGAAAUUGAAGAACUGAAGGACGGCAAGUGGAAACCAUUCAGUGGUCAAGAUGUGCAGCUUGAAUUUGUCCGUAUCGACCCAUUUGUGAGAACAACUCUCAAGAACUCUAAUGGUAAAUUCCACAUAACCUUCAAAUUACCAGACGUUUAUGGAGUCUACAAGUUCCAGGUGGAUUACAACAGAGUGGGCUACACACACCUGUACAGUACAACACAGGUAUCGGUGAGACCUCUACAGCACACACAGUACGAGAGGUUCAUUUACUCGGCCUACCCCUACUAUACCAGCGCUUUCUCCAUGAUGGUCGGAGUCUGUGUAUUCAGUCUGGUGUUCCUACACUUUAAAGAAGAACCCAAAGAAAAGAAAGAAUAACCUCAGCAUGACAGAAGUAACAUCUAAACAACUACUUUAAAGCUUUAUUUUUGUACAUUUUGUUGAAUCUUUGUGUGAAUAUUUUGUGAACAUUCAUAAAGUUUGGGGUAAAAACAAGAUUCAUUUUCAGACUUAAGUUUUCGUUUCAAGAUCAUGAUUGUACAUGUACAUUUUAUAACAUCAGUAAAAGAAUGAAAGUUGUGGAAGUAAAUGUUGUGAUGCAUUUUGGAAUGAUUAAAAGAUCAUGUUUAGGUACUUUUUUAAUGAAAAUAAUAAAAUAUUCCAUUU
rnacentral:misc_RNA from 1 species